rnacentral:rRNA from 1 species
GGUGAUCGGCCACACUGGAACUGAGACACGGUCCAGACUCCUACGGGAGGCAGCAGUAGGGAAUCUUCCGCAAUGGGCGAAAGCCUGACGGAGCAACGCCGCGUGAGUGAUGAAGGUCUUCGGAUCGUAAAACUCUGUUAUUAGGGAAGAACAAACGUGUAAGUAACUGUGCACGUCUUGACGGUACCUAAUCAGAAAGCCACGGCUAACUACGUGCCAGCAGCCGCGGUAAUACGUAGGUGGCAAGCGUUAUCCGGAAUUAUUGGGCGUAAAGCGCGCGUAGGCGGUUUUUUAAGUCUGAUGUGAAAGCCCACGGCUCAACCGUGGAGGGUCAUUGGAAACUGGAAAACUUGAGUGCAGAAGAGGAAAGUGGAAUUCCAUGUGUAGCGGUGAAAUGCGCAGAGAUAUGGAGGAACACCAGUGGCGAAGGCGACUUUCUGGUCUGCAACUGACGCUGAUGUGCGAAAU